rnacentral:rRNA from 1 species
UACGUAGGGGCCGAGCGUUGUCCGGAGUUACUGGGCGUAAAGCGCGCGCAGGCGGCUCGUCAAGCCUGAUGUGAAAGCCCCGGGCUCAACCCGGGAAGUGCAUUGGAAACUGGCGAACUUGAGUACGGGAGAGGGCAGUGGAAUUCCUAGUGUAGGAGUGAAAUCCGUAGAUAUUAGGAGGAACACCGGUGGCGAAGGCGGCUGCCUGGACCGAUACUGACGCUGAGACGCGAAAGCGUGGGGAGCAAACAGG